rnacentral:rRNA from 1 species
UACGUAGGUGGCAAGCGUUGUCCGGAAUUAUUGGGCGUAAAGCGCGCGCAGGCGGCCUCUUAAGUCUGAUGUGAAAGCCCCCGGCUCAACCGGGGAGGGCCAUUGGAAACUGGGAGGCUUGAGUAUAGGAGAGAAGAGUGGAAUUCCACGUGUAGCGGUGAAAUGCGUAGAGAUGUGGAGGAACACCAGUGGCGAAGGCGACUCUUUGGCCUAUAACUGACGCUGACGGCGC